rnacentral:siRNA from 1 species
AGCUACAAGCUCGGAGCCGGAUA